CGAAAUCUCCCAUUAUAGAUUUUUUUCUCAACGACAGUUUUUUUCGAAUAAAGAAAAUAAAAAGCUCUCUCUUCAACUCUUUCUCUCUCUCUCUCGCUACACGCUCCGUGUCUUCCAUCCAUAUCCAUUACGACGCCGUCUGAUAAUAUUAUAUAUGUUGUAAAAUGGCGAUGAGGAAGAAAUCACGGGAGAUUUUCAACUUAAAUUUGAAAAGCAGCAGGCAAAACUACUACGGGAGGUUUUACAGCUCCAAGAAGGUGGAUUUAAGGCAGCUUCGUUCGAUGAUACAUGAAAGAAUUGAAAACCGUGCCAAGGAUUACCCAAUCAAGGGUAUGCUUCCUGUGGCCCAGGAGGUCCUCAAUUCCAGGAAAUUCCUUAUCCGCGGCGUCUCUAUCCUCACCAAAGUGUUCCCCGUUCUGGCUUGCAAGUUCUGUCCAGAAGUAUAUGUUGGUGAGAAAGGCCACUUAAUUCAGACUUGCUGUGGUUAUAGACGUUUUGCCAAGAAUCGGGUUCAUGAGUGGAUCAUUGGUGGUCUGAAUGAUAUACUUGUUCCAGUUGAGACAUUUCACCUACAACACAUGCAUCAGGAUGUUAUUAGACACCACCAGAGGUUCGACUUCGAACGUGUUCCUGCAGUUGUUGAGUUAUGCUGGCAAGCAGGAGCUGUUCCAAGUGAGGAGGAUUUGUGCCCCAGCACGCACAACAUAGAAGGAGUUUUCCCUUUGUCACCUGAUGAACUGAGGUUGAUAGCCAAUCGAACUUUGAGAGCAUGGGAAAUGCUUAGAGAAGGUGUACAGAAGUUGAUUUUGGCGUAUCCGGUAAAAGUCUGUAAACACUGUUCUGAAGUCCAUGUUGGGCCAUUCGGACAUAAGGUUAGAAUUUGUGGAGUGUUCAAGUAUGAGAGUCGACGAGGAGCCCACUUUUGGGAGAAAGCACAAGUUGAUGAUUUGGUCCCUCCAAAAACUGUCUGGCAUCGUAGGCCUCAAGAUCCUCCUGUGCUUUUAAAUGAAGGGAAGGAUUUUUAUGGUCAUGCACCAGCAGUGGUGGACCUGUGCAUAAAGGCUGGCGUUAUUGCACCUCUUAAGUACCAUUGUGCGAUGAAAGUGCAAGGCUUAUCUGGGCCUGUUAAGGCAAAAGUUUGAAGAUAUGUAUGAGAUCAAAUGCAAAGGCUUAUCUGGGCCUGUUAAAGCGAAAGUUUGAAGAUAUCUAUGAGAUCAAAUGCAACAGAGGCUUGUUUCCACAUACUCGAUCUGGUAAACAUUUGUGGGAAAGCUGAAACCUCUCUCCUCAAGCUGAAACCUCUUCCCUUGCUUUAAGCGGGAGACUGAUUCAUUCCCCGAUUCAAGUGGUUCGUGAUUUCUCUGGAAUCUCACAGGUGGAAUGGGUAUGCUAAAAUCUUUGUAUCCUGAAACGGCUUCAUUCCAAGGUAUGAGCUGUACUGCACUCUCACAGGGUUGUAGGCCUUUCUGGUAUGUCUUACGGAUCCCUAAUUGGGUUGGUAAGAAAAUACCAUUACCAAAUGUAAUAUUCAAAUCUUGGAUAUUUAAUUUCAAGUUAAGGAGAUGGGAUAAAAUCGAUUUUGUAAAUACCAUUUGAUAAAUGCUAAAGAAUUUUGAGUGGCUGUUAAAAUUUAACACACGUGAAUGCAUGGCAGUUUAUAGUAGCAACUCUGUUCCACGAUGACAAUUCUGUGUUGAUGAGAGUACUAAAUAUGCAAGCAAGGCAAAUGCCUGUAUGUUCUUGAAUCUCUCAUUCUAGUUGACAAAGAAAUGUAACUUUCUCGAAAGCUUAUUAUGUAAAUGAUUUCGAUCGAA